GACGAACGCUGGCGGCGUGCUUAACACAUGCAAGUCGAGCGGUAAGGCCCUUUCGGGGGUACACGAGCGGCGAACGGGUGAGUAACACGUGGGUGACCUGCCUCUAGCUCUGGGAUAAGCCUGGGAAGCUGGGUCUAAUACCGGAUAUGACCUCGCGGUGCAUGUUGCGGGGUGGAAAGCCUUGUGCGGCUAGGGAUGGGCCCGCGGCCUAUCAGCUUGUUGGUGGGGUGAGGCCUACCAAGGCGACGACGGGUAGCCGGCCUGAGAGGGCGACCGGCCACACUGGGACUGAGACACGGCCCAGACUCCUACGGGAGGCAGCAGUGGGGAAUCUUGCGCAAUGGGCGAGAGCCUGACGCAGCGACGCCGCGUGAGGGAUGACGGCCU
rnacentral:rRNA from 1 species